rnacentral:rRNA from 1 species
AGAGUUUGAUCAUGGCUCAGGACGAACGCUGGCGGCGUGCUUAACACAUGCAAGUCGAGCGGAAAGGCCCUUCGGGGUACUCGAGCGGCGAACGGGUGAGUAACACGUGAGCAAUCUGCCCUUGACUCUGGGAUAGCUCCGGGAAACCGGGAUUAAUACCGGAUAUGACCACUUUAGACAUCUUUUGUGGUGGAAAGAAUUUCGGUCAGGGAUGAGCUCGCGGCCUAUCAGCUUGUUGGUGGGGUAACGGCCUACCAAGGCGACGACGGGUAGCCGGCCUGAGAGGGCGACCGGCCACACUGGGACUGAGACACGGCCCAGACUCCUACGGGAGGCAGCAGUGGGGAAUAUUGCGCAAUGGGCGAAAGCCUGACGCAGCGACGCCGCGUGGGGGAUGAAGGCCUUCGGGUUGUAAACCCCUUUCAGCAGGGACGAAGCGAAAGUGACGGUACCUGCAGAAGAAGCGCCGGCUAACUACGUGCCAGCAGCCGCGGUAACACGUAGGGCGCAAGCGUUGUCCGGAAUUAUUGGGCGUAAAGAGCUCGUAGGUGGUCUGUUGCGUCCGCUGUGAAAACUCGGGGCUUAACCCCGAGCCUGCAGUGGAUACGGGCAGACUAGAGGUAGGUAGGGGAGAAUGGAAUUCCUGGUGUAGCGGUGAAAUGCGCAGAUAUCAGGAGGAACACCGGUGGCGAAGGCGGUUCUCUGGGCCUUACCUGACACUGAGGAGCGAAAGCGUGGGGAGCAAACAGGAUUAGAUACCCUAGUAGUCC